AUACGUAGGUGGCAAGCGUUGUCCGGAUUUACUGGGUGUAAAGGGCGUGUAGCCGGGUCUGCAAGUCAGAUGUGAAAUCCAUGGGCUUAACCCAUGAACUGCAUUUGAAACUGUGGAUCUUGAGUGCUGGAGGGGCAAUCGGAAUUCCUAGUGUAGCGGUGAAAUGCGUAGAUAUUAGGAGGAACACCAGUGGCGAAGGCGGAUUGCUGGACAGUAACUGACGGUGAGGCGCGAAAGUGUGGGGAGC
rnacentral:rRNA from 1 species